rnacentral:rRNA from 1 species
GACGAACGCUGGCGGCGUGCUUAACACAUGCAAGUCGAACGCUGAAGACCUGGCUUUUGUUGGGUUGGAUGAGUGGCGAACGGGUGAGUAACACGUGAGUAACCUGCCCUCUUCUUUGGGAUAACGCCCGGAAACGGGUGCUAAUACUGGAUAUUCACUGAUCUUCGCAUGGGGGUUGGUGGAAAGGUUUGUUCUGGUGGGGGAUGGGCUCGCGGCCUAUCAGCUUGUUGGUGGGGUGAUGGCCUACCAAGGCUUUGACGGGUAGCCGGCCUGAGAGGGUGACCGGUCACAUUGGGACUGAGAUACGGCCCAGACUCCUACGGGAGGCAGCAGUGGGGAAUAUUGCACAAUGGGCGAAAGCCUGAUGCAGCGACGCCGCGUGAGGGAUGGAGGCCUUCGGGUUGUAAACCUCUUUCGCUCAUGGUCAAGCCGCAACGGGGGGUUGUGGUGAGGGUAGUGGGUAAAGAAGCGCCGGCUAACUACGUG